UUUUACACGCUGAUUCCGAAGUUGUGACGGAGAGUAAAGAGAGAGACGCCAAAAGUCUUGGUUGGACUUGGCGAUCAGUUCAAAUCAGCAAUGACUAAGCGAACGAGAAUGAGGCUGGCUACGUAUAUAUAAGGUACACCUAGCUAUAUAGGGUGGAUUGGCUUUUUUUGUAUCCUGAUUUGAAGUAAUAAGAAAGAAGAUGGUAUUUAUACAAUAGAUAAAAUGAAUACAUAGAAAUGCAAGUAUUUAACAAUGACAGUGCAAAGGCAGGCAGCAGAUCCCAGAAAACAACCACUCAAUUACGUGUAGAGAGAGGUGUUGAAAGCAACUAAUCAUAGAUACAGAGGCUGGCAGGCUGAACAGCCGUAAAGAUGAUGGAUGCAUUUUAGUCAAAAAAGAAGGAUUGGAUUGCGAAUUUGUGAUGAAGCAAGGAAGAAAGGAAUGGAAGGGAAUGGAGAACUGGGCCUGAAUUUUAUUCAUCUUUCCCGCCCUCAUUUAAUGCUGAGUUUCUUGAUUGUGCCAAGUAGCACAAACUGAUUUUUCCCUAAUGUUUGUUACUCUUGUCGCCCGUG
rnacentral:lncRNA from 1 species